rnacentral:rRNA from 1 species
CCUACGGGCGGCAGCAGUGAGGAAUAUUGGUCAAUGGGCGGGAGCCUGAACCAGCCAAGCCGCGUGAGGGAAGAAGGUACAUCGUAUCGUAAACCUCUUUUGUCAGGGAACAAAGGCGGGGACUAGUCCCCGGAUGAGGGUACCUGAAGAAAAAGCAUCGGCUAACUCCGUGCCAGCAGCCGCGGUAAUACGGAGGAUGCGGGCGUUAUCCGGAUUUAUUGGGGUUAAAGGGUGCGCAGGCGGCCUGGUAAGUCAGCGGUAAAAGCCCGGGGCUUAACCCCGGGGGAGCCGUUGAAACUGGCGGGCUGGAGUUGGAGAGAGGUAGGCGGAAUGCGCGGUGUAGCGGUGAAAUGCUUAGAUAUCGCGCAGAACCCCGAUUGCGAAGGCAGCGUAC